rnacentral:rRNA from 1 species
GUGAACGCUGGCGGUCGGCCUAACCCAUGCCAGUCGAACGGCAGCACAGUAAGAGCUUGCUCUUACGGGUGGCGAGUGGCGGACGGGUGAGGAAUACAUCGGAAUCUACUUUUUCGUGGGGGAUAACGUAGGGAAACUUACGCUAAUACCGCAUACGACCUACGGGUGAAAGCAGGGGAUCUUCGGACCUUGCGCGAUUGAAUGAGCCGAUGUCGGAUUAGCUAGUUGGCGGGGUAAGGCCCACCAAGGCGACGAUCCGUAGCUGGUCUGAGAGGAUGAUCAGCCACACUGGAACUGAGACACGGUCCAGACUCCUACGGGAGGCAGCAGUGGGGAAUAUUGGACAAUGGGCGCAAGCCUGAUCCAGCCAUACCGCGUGGGUGAAGAAGGCCUUCGGGUUGUAAAGCCCUUUUGUUGGGAAAGAAAAGCAGCAGGUUAAUACCCCGCUGUUCUGACGGUACCCAAAGAAUAAGCACCGGCUAACUUCGUG